GAGUUUGAUCCUGGCUCAGGACGAACGCUGGCGGCGUGCUUAACACAUGCAAGUCGAACGUGAUUGGAAGCUUGCUUCCAUGAAAGUGGCGCACGGGUGAGUAACGCGUGGAUAACCUGCCCUGGUGUCUGGGAUAACAUCUCGAAAGGGGUGCUAAUACCGGAUAAGCCCACGGGAUCCUCGGAUUCUGCGGGAAAAGGUGGCCUCUAUUUAUAAGCUACCGUAUCAGGAUGAGUCCGCGUACCAUUAGCUAGUUGGUGGGGUAAUGGCCCACCAAGGCGACGAUGGUUAGCUGGUCUGAGAGGAUGAUCAGCCACACUGGAACUGAGACACGGUCCAGACUCCUACGGGAGGCAGCAGUGGGGAAUUUUGCGCAAUGGGGGAAACCCUGACGCAGCAACGCCGCGUGAGUGAUGAAGGCUUUCGGGUCGUAAAGCUCUGUCAGAGGGGAAGAACCACCUGUCGGGUAAUAUCCGGCAGGCCUGACGGUACCCUCAAAGGAAGCACCGGCUAACUCCGUGCCAGCAGCCGCGGUAAUAC
rnacentral:rRNA from 1 species